rnacentral:rRNA from 1 species
UACCAGCACCCCGAGUGGUCGGGACGAUUAUUGGGCCUAAAGCAUCCGUAGCCGGUCCUACAAGUCUUCCGUUAAAUCCACCUGCUUAACAGGUGGGCUGCGGAAGAUACUAUAGGGCUAGGAGGCGGGAGAGGCAAGCGGUACUCAGUGGGUAGGGGUAAAAUCCUCUGAUCCAUUGAAGACCACCAGUGGCGAAGGCGGCUUGCCAGAACGCGCCCGACGGUGAGGGAUGAAAGCUGGGGGAGCAAACCGGG